GGCAGUAUUAGCACCGACGAAGAUACAGACGGAGCAGUAAUCGUUUUUUUCGGUACCACUUUCUUUUUCACCCUUUUGCAAGCCCCUCUUGUUUUCUGUAAUAUGCUUGCGUUGGCUAACCCCUUGAACGGGCGAAAUGAGGGAACUGUCAAGCGACAUGUCAACAACUUGUUUGUUUACAGUUCUGCUGUUUGCUACCUAACCUUAGGAAAACUUCGACCCGUUCUACGGACGAUGAACACUUUAUAUAUAUAUUUAUUUGAUUAAAAUCUGUAGUUUGGGGUCUGUAGUAAGUUUUGGGAAUAUUUUCGGUCCGGAUAACAUUGCGGCAUUCGUGGAAUAGGUGACGGCGCAUACGAAAUGGUUGUGAGCGCAACUGAUGGUAUGCAACUGAGGGUUCUCCGUAAGAACGGUUGGCGGUGAUUUGACCACUUUGACCAGGAGGAAACGCUGUUUUAAAUGUGCUUGAUUAGUACAAGGCUUGUUGUCCUUUCUGAACCAAAUCCUACGGAAAAGUGUCCAUCGUAAAGCCAGCUUCCAGUCUAGUCAGCAUUCGGUCGGCCAACUUCGGAGUAAUAUUUAGUUCGCCAAAAUUGGUUGAACAGGGAGUCGAUGAUGGAACUAGAUCCGCCAAAAUGCUCGAAAGCGAUUUGGAACGUUUCGAUGAGGCGGAAACAAAGCGGUUCUAUAAAAUGUAUACAUUCCCCAAGGGUCGCUCUUCGUGCAGAGGUUCGAAGGAAGUCGAGAAGCAGCUGGCUUUUGGGAAGACUUCCGGCAGCCGGAUUAUGCG